AUAAUGAUGUGAUCAAGUCAGGGAAAUAUGUACCAAAUGAAAGAGAAGAUUCAAAAGAGAACCAGAGAAAGGAAGACAUGAUGCAAGAACAGGAUGAGAAAGCACUGAUGAGCCCAUCUCGAGUCCUACCACUGAAUACAGCCAGCGUUACACUGGAUCUUGUCACUCUGAAGGCACCUUUAACGGACAAGAUUGAAGUGAAAGUCCCUGCUGAUAUGCAGCGUGUCUUUUUAAGCCCAGAAACAGCACGCAUUUUGAGAGCUCAUUCAAAAAAUGUUGUGUUUCACAAAAGCAAUACAGUGAGGAAGCAUUUUCAGCAGUCAAGGAGUGAAGGGUUAGGAGGAAAGGGUUGUGCCCGUACCCUAAAAGGGUAGGGAGGUGCACGGUCCUUCCUCUGGCCGGGGCCGCCACUCCAUUGGUGGUUCCGCUGGCGCCUCCUGCCGUAGCGGACCACGGUCCAACCCUCAUCAUC